AGUUUAAAAAUUUAUAAUCUCUAUAUUAAUUGUGUUUAUAUAAUAGAAAUAUUAAAAACGGAAGUUUCUUCAAGAAAUAUACUGUUUUUUUUAUAUUUUUAAUAGAAGUUAUUUAAAGUCUCUCGAAUUAAAUUAAUUGGAAUAAAAAAGAAUUUUGAAUUACGACCUUGAAAAAAAAAUCAAUAAUCAUUAUGGCGGGAUUGUCGGUUAUAUUUUGUUACUUCCGGUUCAUUGUAGCGUCUCUUGGCCUGUCUUGUCGCUUGUUUGUUGCGAAAGUUUACCAUUAUUUCAUCCAUCGGACAUUCCAGAAUAUAAUAAAAUACGUCAUUUGAAACUAAAAUUGCAUCUAUUUCAAAAGUGAUAAAUGGGAAAUUCAAUUAUGGACGGGGAAAUUGAUAAAAAGUUGCAAUUUGGAAAUGAUAGAGAGCACAUUCAGGGACCUCAGGGACACAAAGUUCAUCUGUAAUCGUCUCGUGAAUUUACGAAAUGUUUUGUCCCAAAGAAGAAAGAAAAGAUUGUUUUUAACGAUUAUUAAAGAGACUCGUUGCAAAUCGGAAAUAAGUUGGAAACAAUAGGAAAUUUUCAUAGCCACAAACAAGUUGGAGCUUUCUUCGAGAAAUCGCCAAACACCAGGUGAGUGGAUUUGAAAUCAAAGGCAUUCCUAAAUAAAUCAAGCGCGAAUAAUCUUUUUGAUGAUAUAUAUUCGAGGUAAAAGCGAAUCAAAAAUACAAAGAAAGAAAGA